UGGGGAAUAUUGGACAAUGGGGGCAACCCUGAUCCAGCAAUGCCGCGUGAGUGAUGAAGGCCUUCGGGUUGUAAAGCUCUUUUGUUAGGGACGAUAAUGACGGUACCUAACGAAUAAGCUCCGGCUAACUUCGUGCCAGCAGCCGCGGUAAUACGAAGGGAGCUAGCGUUGUUCGGAAUUACUGGGCGUAAAGGGCGCGUAGGCGGUUAUCUAAGUCAGAUGUGAAAGCCUUGGGCUUAACCUGAGAAUUGCAUUUGAUACUGGAUAACUAGAGAUCGAGAGAGGUAAGUGGAAUUACGAGUGUAGAGGUGAAAUUCGUAGAUAUUCGUAAGAACACCAGUGGCGAAGGCGGCUUACUGGCUCGAUACUGACGCUAAGGCGCGAAAGCGUGGGGAGCAAACA
rnacentral:rRNA from 1 species